UACUCUUGGACAGCCUUCUGAAAGGAAGAUUAAUACAAGAUGGCUCCGCAUGUUUAAAGGUAUUCCGGUAGACGAUGGGGAUGCGUUCCAUUAGAUAGUAGGCGGGGUAACGGCCCACCUAGUCUUCGAUGGAUAGGGGUUCUGAGAGGAAGGUCCCCCACAUUGGAACUGAGACACGGUCCAAACUCAUACGGGAGGCAGCAGUGAGGAAUAUUGGUCAAUGGGCGAGAGCCUGAACCAGCCAAGUAGCGUGAAGGAUGACUGCCUAUGGGUUGUAAACUUCUUUUAUAAAGGAAUAAGUCGGGUAUGCAUACCCGUUUGCAUGUACUUUAUGAAUAAGGAUC
rnacentral:rRNA from 1 species